rnacentral:rRNA from 1 species
UACGGAGGGAGCUAGCGUUGUUCGGAAUUACUGGGCGUAAAGCGCACGUAGGCGGCUAUUCAAGUCAGAGGUGAAAGCCCGGGGCUCAACCCAGGAACUGCGUCCAAGACUGGGAGGCUUGAAUCCGGGAGAGGGAUGCGGAAUUCCAGGUGUAGCGGUGAAAUGCGUAGAUAUCUGGAGGAACACCGGUGGCGAAGGCGGCAUCCUGGACCGGGAUUGACACUGAGGCGCGAAAGCCAGGGGAGCAAACGGG